rnacentral:rRNA from 1 species
CCUACGGGUGACAGCAGUGAGGAAUAUUGGUCAAUGGCCGAGAGUCUGAACCAGCCAAGUAGCAUGAAGGAUGACUGCCCUAUGGGUUGUAAACUUCUUUUAUAUGGGAAUAAAGUGUUCCACGUGUGGGUUUUUGUAUGUACCAUAUGAAUAAGGAUCGGCUAACUCCGUGCCAGCAGCCGCGGUAAUACGGAGGAUCCGAGCGUUAUCCGGAUUUAUUGGGUUUAAAGGGAGCGUAGGUGGGUGGUUAAGUCAGUUGUGAAAUUUUGCGGCUCAACCGUGAAAUUGCAGUUGAAACUGGCAGUCUUGAGUACAGGAGAGGUGGGCGGAAUUCGUGGUGUAGCGGUGAAAUGCUUAGAUAUCACGAAGAACCCCGAUUGCGAAGGCAGCUCACUGGACUGCAACUGACACUGAGGCUCGAAAGUGUGGGUAUCAAACAGGAUUAGAUACCCUGGUAGUC